rnacentral:rRNA from 2 species
CGGCACUAGCGCGGUGGUCCCACCUGACCCCAUGCCGAACUCAGAAGUGAAACGCCGUAGCGCCGAUGGUAGUGUGGGGUCUCCCCAUGCGAGAGUAGGGAACUG